rnacentral:rRNA from 1 species
CCUACGGGAGGCAGCAGUGGGGAAUAUUGGACAAUGGGCGAAAGCCUGAUCCAGCAAUGCCGCGUGAGUGAAGAAGGCCUUCGGGUUGUAAAGCUCUUUUACCCGGGAAGAUAAUGACCGUACCGGGAGAAUAAGCCCCGGCUAACUCCGUGCCAGCAGCCGCGGUAAUACGGAGGGGGCUAGCGUUGUUCGGAAUCACUGGGCGUAAAGCGUGCGUAGGCGGCCAUUCAAGUCAGAGGUGAAAGCCCAGGGCUCAACCCUGGAACUGCCUUUGAAACUAGGUGGCUGGAACACGGGAGAGGUGAGUGGAAUUCCGAGUGUAGAGGUGAAAUUCGUAGAUAUUCGGAAGAACACCAGUGGCGAAGGCGGCUCACUGGACCGUUGUUGACGCUGAGGCACGAAAGCGUGGGGAGCAAACAGGAUUAGAUACCCUGGUAGUCCACGACCGUAACGAUGAUAACUAGCUGUUGGGGUCGUCUUUGUAGCUCCACGUGGCGGCAGCUAACGCAUUAAGUUAUUCCGUCCGUCGGGGUAGGUACGGUCCGGCCGAACGGUUAAAACGUUAACAAAUAGUAAGUUAGUACGGCGUGUAGACGUUGCCGAGGCGACGACGAGGGGAGGUUAGG